rnacentral:rRNA from 1 species
GGCGAACGCUGGCGGCGUGCCUAAUACAUGCAAGUAGAACGCUGAAGGAGGAGCUUGCUUCUCUGGAUGAGUUGCGAACGGGUGAGUAACGCGUAGGUAACCUGCCUGGUAGCGGGGGAUAACUAUUGGAAACGAUAGCUAAUACCGCAUAAUAGUAGAUGUUGCAUGACAUUUGCUUAAAAGGUGCAAUUGCAUCACUACCAGAUGGACCUGCGUUGUAUUAGCUAGUUGGUGGGGUAACGGCUCACCAAGGCGACGAUACAUAGCCGACCUGAGAGGGUGAUCGGCCACACUGGGACUGAGACACGGCCCAGACUCCUACGGGAGGCAGCAGUAGGGAAUCUUCGGCAAUGGACGGAAGUCUGACCGAGCAACGCCGCGUGAGUGAAGAAGGUUUUCGGAUCGUAAAGCUCUGUUGUAAGAGAAGAACGAGUGUGAGAGUGGAAAGUUCACACUGUGACGGUAUCUUACCAGAAAGGGACGGCUAACUACGUG